CAGAGGGUGCAAGCGUUGUUCGGAAUUAUUGGGCGUAAAGCGCGUGUAGGCGGCUUGGCAAGUCGGGUGUGAAAGCCCUCAGCUCAACUGAGGAAGUGCGCCCGAAACUGCUUGGCUUGAGUGCCAGAGAGGGUGGCGGAAUUCCCCAAGUAGAGGUGAAAUUCGUAGAUAUGGGGAGGAACACCGGUGGCGAAGGCGGCCACCUGGCUGGUAACUGACGCUGAGACGCGAAAGCGUGGGUAGCAAACAGGAUUAGAUACCCUGGUAGUCCACGCCGUAAACGAUGAGAACUAGGUGUCGUGGGUGUUGACCCCCGCGGUGCCGUAGCUAACGCAUUAAGUUCUCCGCCUGGGAAGUACGGCCGCAAGGCUA
rnacentral:rRNA from 1 species